UCUCUAGGGGUCUCAAGUGGUCUCCAGGUCUCAAGCGGUCUCUAAAGGUCUCUAGUGGUCUCUAGUGGUCUCCAGGUCUCAAGCGGUCUCUAGUGGUCUCUAGUGGUCUCUGGUGGUCUCUGGUGGUCUCUAGUGGUCUCUAGUGGUCUCUAUGGGUCUCUAGUGGUCUCUGGUGGUCUCUAGGGGUCUCUAGGGGUCUCUGGUGGUCUCUGGUUGUCUCUAGUGGUCUCUGGUGGUCUCUAGCGGUCUCUAGUGGUCUCUAGUGGUCUCUAGUGGUCCCCAGGUCUCUGCUGGGCUCCAGGUCUCUUGUGGUCUUUAGCGGUCUCUUGAAUCUCAGAAAAGAUAAAAAAAGAUUUCUGUAAACUUGUUUGCUUCUCUUACUUUACUUCUGUUUUUGAGUUGUCAUGGAGUGGAUUAAACCGUAUCUUUAUAGUUAUGACGUGAACCCAAAAGAUAACGACAUUGAAUAAAUAUUUUAUUUUUGACCAUUUUAAAGAGAUACUGUAUGGAUUAAUUUAUGUACUUUGAUUGCAGGAUCCAGCCUCCUGAAUAAAUAUAUAAAAAGUAAAAAGUAAAGAGAAGACUAUCGGGCCUUGUUUGUUUUGCAGGGAGUUUGUGGAUCCUAGUGCAGUGUUUUCUAAUGCUGUCGAUGUGUUAACUCUUUUGAACGUGCGUCCCUUCAGAAUAUGUGAAUCUUGGCGCCUCGGUCCUGGGCUGUGUUGGAAUUGGCUGAGGGUGGGUUCUCCCUGUACGGUGGACACUGUACAGGGAAAACUGCUCACUGUACAGGGGUACGGGGAUCCACACCCUCAUGAGCUCCAGAAGCCAGGCUUUGUGGUAGGAACACAGGCUGUGACCGCCGCAUUACGGGGUAUGAAAGCGCUAUGCAUCAUGGGAGAUAGUGCUGAAAUGUGCAUCAGGUUUGCACUUAUUUGUGGGUAUUAAGUAGUGCACGAUGUCGGGCCCAAGUGAGCCAGUUCCUACACAGCCUGGAGUUCUGGUUUUCUAACCUUUGACCUUUCACCCCACUUGUCAGCCUCCAUGUUGAGUCACAGGACACUGUACAGGACAUGAAAUGGACGCCUUUGUUGUGAUCGUGUUGCUGUUUCUCUGGUGCUCUGAGGAAACAGAGAGUGGGUUUCUGUGGUCGACCCGAAUAAGGGAAGAAAAUGACAUGUCUGUCUUUUGCACUAAUUUAAUAAAGGCGUUACUGAAAGAAGAA
ensembl:lncRNA